rnacentral:rRNA from 1 species
UACGAAGGGGGCUAGCGUUGCUCGGAUUGACUGGGCGUAAAGGGCGCGUAGGCGGUUCGUACAGUCAGACGUGAAAUUCCUGGGCUCAACCUGGGGGCUGCGUUUGAUACGUGCGGACUUGAGUGCGGAAGAGGGUCGUGGAAUUCCCAGUGUAGAGGUGAAAUUCGUAGAUAUCGGGAGGAACACCGGUGGCGAAGGCGGCGACCUGGGUAGAUACUGACGCUGAGGUGCGAAAGCGUGGGGAGCAAACAGG